GAAUGAGUGACUAUUAACCAACCAACCCAGUCAUUUCAUUUCGCCUUCACUCUCUACCCGUUACAGUUUUUCUAACUUUCUUUCUUUAGAUUGAGUAACUUCAAUAAUGCAAUGCAACUAAAGAUUAUUACUUACAACUUCUAUGCUCAAAUAAUUGUUGCAAUGCAAUUAAACACUCACUCAUGCGUGUCCCCGUGAGCCUAAUCCAGUUUGUAGAGACAUUGCAUUAUAUAUAUAGAGGUUGGGGUUCAAACUCAAACACUCUACUUAUUCACCUUAAAAAAAAUGAAUUUAAGUCAAUUGGCUACCUGACUAAAAAAAAACGCACUCAUAUGUUUUAUUUCAUAAGCUGGUUUUAGACCUUUUUAUCUGAAAAACUUAUCUCACAUUGUAGUUGAUAUGUAUGGUUAGACCUUUUGUGAGGUUUGUGUGUCCCCUAGUCUAUCACUCUCUCACAGUUAAACUACUUUGUUUUUGAGAGGUUUGUAUACCUUACUUAAAAACAACUAUCAUUCUCUCAUCAAUUUCAUCAUUAAGCUAUUAAAAUUAACUAAAAAGUACCUAAACUAUUCUCACAUAUAACUAUUAGCCCCUUGGUUGACAAAGUUAAUUUUUUUUAUGAUGGUUUAUGGACUAAAUUGAUAUAUUUUUUAUAGUUUAAAGAUCUUCUAGUUGAUUUUAAUAACUCGAAGGCUAUAUAUGUGAAAAAAUUGAUAGUUUAAGGAACAAGUUGAUUGUUUAUUCUUAAUUUGAUUGAAGUCUACUGGCACACAAAUUUACAAGGAUACGGUGGAUAUGGGGAAGUUAUACCUGAUAUCCCUACAUUUAAUCUUUUACCCCCUACAAAUUGUUGAAAAUGCCAAAUUUACCUUUUAUCAUUUCACUUCACCCUGCAUAAAAUUUUAGCCAACAAUACACUUCCGAGAUUUAAUACUCCAAUUUUCGGAAUAUUCAUAUCAAAUUUUUAUGGUAGAUUAAUUUGUAAACCGGAACAAUUGAGUAAAGAAUUAUUAUCAGAAUUCUUUCUUCUUUCAUCGAGGUUUGAGAGACAAUGAAAGAUGGAAAAUAGAAUACAACAACCUGUAUUAGUUAAUAUAAAAUUAAGUGCAAAGCAAAGAUCAUGAUACCAAACCUCAUCAAUUCUUCUUCCAAUUCAUUUUAUUUAGAUCUAAAAAAAUGAAAGGCCGUAUAUUUCUGGAGUAGAAUUUUAGAUGUAAGGUUGGGAAAUCAAAAAACCUGGCUAAAACUGCAGAAACCUGUUUUCUGAAUUCUUUCUAAAAAAACAGUGUAAAAAAAUGCUUGUCUCUUUAUCUGUAGAUCUAAAAAAAAAUCAUUUCUAAUUCAUCUUGUUUGGAAAUAUGAAUACGAAAAGUUGUAUAUUUUAAUUUUUUUUAUUUUUACAAAAUACCGUUGUUGGGAAUGUGAAUAAUCUAAGAUUAAAUGUAGGGGUGGUAAAAGAUUAAAUGUAGGGGUAUAUGGUAUAAUAUCCUGGAUAUGGUAGGCUUAUAUUACUUAGAACCCAAAUCAUGUUACUUAGGCCCGUCAUCAUGGACUUUUUUCAUGUGGUUUCCAUGCAGGCUAGUUGAAUAUUGCUCUUUAGGCAUCCAUGUUUUGCUCUCAGACAUUUUGAAAUUAUUAUUUUACCUCAAUGAAAAUUAAUUACCAUUUGUUGAUGAACGAUGGUUAGUUUUCAUUCUCUUAUGAACAGUAGUUAAUUGUCGUUCUAGGGCAUUUUAUGUGGUUCAGAUUGCGCAGACAGUUUUUGUGGUCCACGAUACAUAAAAACUUCUAUAAAUUGGUGUGUUUGGUUCAUUUGAAACCACACCACAAAAUCAUGAAUAUUUAUCUAGUAGAUCCGAACACCAAAUUAGCGCAGUUAACUACAACGGGGAAAACUCAAUAUGUUUAGGGUUCAGGUUAAUGCUAUAUCGGUUGACUUGAAGGAACAUAGUUGGACCAAAUUAACAGUCGACUCAACCACAAAGACACAAGAAAGGUGGAAAGUGUUGAGUAUCGUCAUCCAUUCGUUUGACUCAUAUGAAAGCGUCAAGUUCACCCAUAUGAAGUUCAAGAACAACGACAUCGUGAGAACCAUCAAGUUAGACGCUUCAUUGGUCAAAUAUUUUUUAGAUGUUCCGGAAAGUUUGAUUCAGAUUAGGACCUUCAAAGAAAACAGGACUUGCAUGGAUAGACCAAAAGAAAUAAGUAUGUCUUAUUCGUGAUUUUGUAUGUGUUUUAUUAUGUUGUUAAAUUAUGUUAGUGUAUUGUGUUUUAUUAUGUUUAAUGUAUGUUUUUGUUAACUUAUGUCAUUGAAAUUAUGUUAAUGUAUUGUAUUUUAUUAUGUUUAAUGUAUGUUCUUCUGAGCUUUCCUUUGUAACUAAUGAUUAACUACAGUUUCUUCUGAAAACAACAAUUAACUAUUGUUCCUAGAAUGGGAGUUAACUCUUGUUUAACAACGAAAAAUAAUUAAUUAUUAUUUCGGAUAAAAUAGUCAAUUUGAGACGUGUUAAAACAAAGUAUGAGUGUCUAACGAACAAUUUUCAAGAUAGUUUAGUCCUUUUUGGGUUCUACCUUUUUUUUUUAUGAGUAACUUCUACACCUAGUUUCCAUUCUUUUUUGUGUUAAUUGUCCGAUUUCUUAGCAUGUGCGUAACUCACGCAGCGUGACUUAAGUCACACAUGUGUAAAAACUAAGUCAUGUAUUUUUUACACUUGCGCUAAUUAACUAACGCAAGGGUAUUUUCGGCAACACUGCAGGGCGCGAGUGUUUUGUGUUGGGUGAAGAGCAGAAUUCUAAAGUCAUAUAUAUAUAUUAUGGUUUUAAAAGGGUAAUUGCUAAAUCAGAUUCAUAGGAAGCAACUAAGUUAAUAUUGAAAGGGCAUGGUAAAGGGCACCCUUGUUCUCAUAUCAUUUCUCAUAUUUCUAAUUUUCUUGUCUAAUUCAUGAGUUACAAGUUUCAACGUGUCUAACGUGAAGCCAACAAAGUCGUGAAUGCUUUUGCAAGGAAUAUCCAACUUCAAAGUAUUAGCGCAGCUUUAACUUGAUGAACAAACUUAGAGUUUUCUAGGGUUUUAAUUUGAUUUUGUUGAAAUAGAGAGAGAAUGAGAAGAAUGGGUGAAUGAGGAGACAAGAAGUAUUAAAGUUGUGAUUUCAUUUAUAUGUAAAAAUACACAUGAAAGUAGCUUAUAUACAUGGUUUUUUGCUAGGUUACUUGAAGUACAAGUCAUAUAACAAACCCUAAAUACCUUAAGCUAAAAUCUAGUAAAUUUGUAACAAACUAUUAACAAACUAAACUAACUAGAUUUCUAAUGUGAUUAACCAAACAAGCUUGAUUAGAUCACUAACAAACUUGAAUUAUCAACUAACACAAAGUUGCGAUAAUAUAAAAAUAAUAUCAGAACUAGUCUCUCUUCAAAUGAAUGAUGCAUCACAACUUAUCUUUCUCCUUUGAUGGAAAAAUUUGUUCUAAUACCAAUUAUUGAAGGAAAAAAAUCAAUAAAAAAUCUUUAAACAAGCGGGAACACAACCACAAAAUAAGUAAAAGAGAUAAAAACAAAUCACAAGCCUAUUUUUCGAUACUUCACAGUUCACACCUUCAUUCAUAAUAUCUUAACAAAAUAUUUGUUACAAAAAUAUGCAUAGUUUUACUAGGAAUUGCAAACCCUCUUGUACAAUUAUAAUUUUUGCACAGAAAUAUUGCAAACUAAUCUUUCUCAAUUACAAUUUUUGUAAGAAAAACUACAAACUCUUUCAUGACACACAACUACCCAACCUCUUUUUUUUUUUUUUUUUUUUUCAUUACUCGAUGUGCGAUGUGAAAGAAUAUCAAUUUUAGAGAACAAAUGGCUAUAAUUUAUAGGUGGCCUUUAUGAUUUUUGGCACAAAUUUUCAUACUGUGAAAUGUGAAUAGAUGCAUGUGCAGAGAUGGAGUUCAUAAUUUAAAUCUUACGUUAAAAAUAAAACAAGUUUUUAAUGUUAUAGUUUAAAAAUAAAAAAUUGUUUCUUAUAUACAAUAUUUUUAUGAAUAUUUACAUAGUUCUUAAAAAAAUUAAUAAUGAAUGGUAUAUUCGUGUCCUGUAUGACACAAUGAAACAUAUGCACAUGAUUAAAUUAUACAUUAAGCCUAAUCAUAUGAUCUGAAAAGAUUUUCUCUACAUUUCGUCGAGCUAGCAAGGUAGAUAGAUGUCAACUAAUAAGUUGAUGAAAUCGGCUAAAAAAGAUUCCCAGUUGAAGUUUAUUAUUUUUUUGGUGCAACCCAGUUGAAGAUUUUAUUAACUUUGAUGAUGGCUCUGAACUACCAAGUUUUCUAGAACUUGAACAAGUCCUUAAUUUUAGUUGAAUUGCAAUACUAUGUCUAUAUGUAUAGUAUACCGUUUCUGGUUUCAUAGUCUGUUAAUUUUAAGGAAUUUUUUCAAGUGGCUCAAAAAAAACAUAUACAGUACAUUCUUUAGUUUUAUUUACAUCGUUUUCAAUCUCUUUCGCUUUUUUAAAUAUUUACGCAGAAAACAUUUUUUUUUUUUUUUCAAUCAGAAAGAGGCAAAAUUAAGAUUUGCAUUGGUUUUAGUCAUCACCUACUACAUUAAAUUACUAUUUGUGGAAAAUAUUGUUUAUAGCGUGAAACUGUGCUCUGACUGGCUCACAUGCAAACGGACAGUGGCAAUAUUGUUUAAGGAAGUAUUAAUCUUUUUUUUUUUUUUUUUUUUGACAGAAACCAUAUAGUAUUAAUCUAUUAUUACUACUAUAUAUGCAUAAAAAAGGACCAAUUAACCGACAUGCUUUGAGUUAUUUUGUGUUUUUUUUUUUUAUUGUUUCUGAAAAAAUCAACCAACAUGCUUCUUUUUUUGCGCUAACUAAAACUAAUUUAUUUAUGCUACUAAUCAAUUUAUUAAGACUAAAACUUGAGUACAAGUUAGUCUUUUUUUUUGUAGUUGGUGACCUACAAGUGGUACUCUUGUACUCAUUAUACUCAAAGUCAAGGGUACAUGCGUAUGUGUUAUGCUGAAUUCGAAAAUUCAUAGUCAAGACCCAGCAAUAUCAAGAUAUAUACACACAUGUCCUAAAGUGCAUUCUGGAGAAUAAGAACUACAAGUCUAAAGUUUUUCUUUUUGUUAGUAAAGUUAUUUUAGUCCAAGUUUAGACUAUACAACGCUGACUAUGAAAUAUGAAAGGAAAAAAAAACCUUCAAUUUUUGUCAAAAAAAUAAAUUCCAUUGUCUCUAACUAAUUAUUGAAAUUUUAAACAUGUGUUUGGUCUAACGGUAUGGUAGAAAAAAUCACGGCAAAAAUUCACGGUAACUACAAAAUCUAAAAAUUUGUAAUUUCUUUGAAAUUUGAGUUUGUAACUUCGAACGUCAAAUAAUCGUUCAUUAAGUCUCUAAAGCUCACAUGAUCAGACCAGCUUUGAUUGCAAAAUAUGACCAACUAAUUACUAAUAAACAUUUAAUUUUGUUAGCAGAUCAAUUUAUCUGUUUAAUGUUAAAAUAAAUCUGAUCCAAUUCAAUACUUUUGGACAUAGAUUGAAAUGGUUUCCCCCCCCCCCCCCCCCCCUUUUUUUUUUUUUUUUUUGUAAACUAGGUAUCCUCCGCGCGCAACUGCGGAGACUAAUCCCUCGAGCAUUGUGAGACCCAAAUGGACGGCAGACUCUCCCUAAGAGUUUUAACGCUGCUGGAGGUAUUGUAAAUAAUAUUUUGUGUUAUAUUAUUUUUAAGAGUGUAUAUUUCUAUAUAAAAAGAGUGAGUUUUGCCUUCAACCUCGAGGUAAUCGGUUUGAGACCUAGGCACUGAGAACAUGAGUUUUUUCGAUUAGCUCUUUAAAAAAUUAUUUAUAGGAGGAAUAAUUGUUUUUAUGGAAUUUGUCGUGUAAUAAAAAUCUAAAUCGUCUAGUCUACAAUUUUGUAUAGUCUUCAAUUAUGUUGUGAAUUCGGGCUUUGAAACUUCACACCAAUCCAAACUAUGAUGUGUGGAGAAAGUAUCAAUGGCAACCAACAACCAAAUUAACCAUAAGCAAUAACAAUAAUAUAUACCAAGUCUAUAAACCAAGUGCAUAGCAAAAUCACAAUCCAACCAAAUAAUAAACAAGAUAAAAGAGUAAAGAAAAAUAGACAACAACACCAAGAGAUUGUUCACCCAGUUCGGUCCAACCAUGACCUACUCUGGAGGAGAGAUUGAUCUCUUCAAUCCACUAUCAAUGAGUUCUUACAAAGAGAUACAAAUGAGUUACAAGAAAUUAGCUUCAACAAGCUCACAAAAAACAACCCUAAUUUCUACCAAUUUUCCCAAUCUCACCAAUGAACAAGACACUCAUGAUUUUUACUCUCCCAAGGUGUUUACAAUUGUUUCACAACUCUAGAAUCUAACCCCCAAAAGAGAACCAACUCUUAGCCUUUGAUUUCACUUAGGAUCUUCUCUUUUGGUUUCACAAGACUCACCCAAGUUGCUCGCAAAUGACUCUCCACUCAUGUGUUUCCCAACCCCAUGAAUCUUCUCCAAAAGGCACCAACCCUUUUCACAAGAGCCCCCUCUUUUGGUUCUCCAAGAUUCACAUCUUGAAGCUUUGAACCUCACCCAAAGACCCUCAACCUUUAGUAUCUAAAACCCUAAAAGUUUCAUCCUUUGGUUGUUAUGGGAUUCACCAAGCUUACCCAACAAAUGGAUCAGGGAGUGUUUAAAACAUGUUUCAGAUCUGUCAAAAUCGUGUCACAUUUUGCCUUCAGAACCAAACAUGCAUUCGGCAUCAGAAAUCGUGACACGGUUGCCAAAUCGUGUCAUGAUUCUUCACUUUCAUAAAGACUUAAUUUUGAGUCAUAUAUAUACCAACAAAUUCAAAUUAUAUAAAUGGACGGUAUAUUCUUUAGUAAAAGUAUUAUUUCACAAUUUAAUACGUAUUAUUAAAAGAAAUUAGAAACAAUUAUCAAAAAAUUAUGAUAGAUAAUAUAUUAAACUCGUCUAGUGUGUGUGUAUUUUUGAAGGAUAGUGUGUGUGUGUAUUAACAUCAUUCUCUAAUUAUUUUUGUAGGGAAACAAUGUUGGUUAAAUUGAUGUGUACUUUUUUUUGUAAAAAAUAAUCGACGUAUUUUUAAAUGAGAUUUACAUGUAGAGAGAGACAGCGGUAGACAUAGUAGUAGAACAAUUAAAAUUUAAAAGACCACUUUACAAAUUGCACCAAGUGGUCCUCUAAAAAAGAUCACCGACAGUUGCUUCACUUUACCUUCAUAUAUUUUAGAGCAAUGAUAUUUGAACAAUUAUUUAGUACAACAUUUUUUGACAAUCUUCUUUUUCUCUCUUUUUAUUGGUCAAAAAUAAUGAAGAGAAAAAAGAAGAGAUAGAGUAAAAAUAUAAUAUGAAUAUGAGAAAAAAAAUUGUCUAAAAAUUAUCACAAAAUGGUUGUACAAAUAUUAUUUCUCCAUAUUUUAGACACAGGCUAAUCAUUAAUUAAUUUGUGUAAAAAAAAACAAUAAUAUUAUUUUGACAACAUUAUUCAACACCUUAUCUUUCUUUCAAAAAACAUUAUUCAACACCUUAUGUUCAUAUUAUCAUUUGAUUUUCUUAAUUAUGUUUUACAUCAGUCACAUCAAGUGACAUUUUACACGCUUAUCAAUUUUUUUUGUCAAGUAGCCUAGUGUUUAGAACUCAUAUAAUUUAAUUGUGAAGAAAUGAAGUGUCAGAGAUUCGAACUCCAACCCCUGCAUAUAAUAUGCAAUAUCCCUACCAACUGAACUAAGCUCACGAAGAUCGCGGUUAUCAAUUUUUGUAGUUCAAAUAACAUCACUAAAAAAAGCUACGAGGCAGACGCACAAAUUUUCAUUGAGCAGUUGUGUUAAUUAAUUUUAUAACGCAAGGAAAAUGGUGAAGUUUUUGUGAAUAGAGAAAUGAUAUAUAUACAAUCAUUUUCAAACAACUUUUGUAAUAACUUUAUCUCUCAUUUUUAUAUUUUAUUUUUAUUUUUUUCUCUAUUAUUUUGGUUUUCGUUUAUGAUUUUUUGUAAGAAAAUGAUUGUCUAUGUAGUUAUCAAUCACAUUGAUGUUCAAAUAACAUUGCUUUUGUGAAUAAUGCAAAAUAGUUUCUCGGAACAAUCAAUUAUUCAAUUGAUAUUUACGAAAUUAGUUUUUGUAGGGUGUCCCUAUAAAUCACAUAUACUUUAAAACAGUCAUAUGUAUUCACGAUUCGAGAUCUUAUAAAAAAACCAUUCCAGAUCAUGUAUGAAAAUGAAAUAUAUAUUUUUUUUGACUGGUGUAUGAAAAUGAAAUAUUUUCAAAAAUAAAAUAUACUCUCUGCCCAUAUAAUGUCAGCGUAGGUGUCGGUGUUUUUCUACCGACUAUAAGAAAAACUGUAAAAUAAAUAAAACAAUAUAGUAAUUUAAAUUAGUGAUUGUAAAUUAUUGUCUUAAAUGUAUAGUUCAAUAUAAUAGAUUAAAAAUGAUGAAAAAAAUAUUAAUUUAAGAGUAGAAUUGAAAUAACAUAUAUGUUUUCGAUAGUUUAACUAAAUUGAUAAAGACAUUGCAUAAUAAUAUACAAGUGUUUUGAAAUUCCAUUUAUUCAUUACAUGUGAAUUUUUAGAUAUUAAACUAUUUGGAAAAUAAAAUAAAAUAUCAAAUAAUUAAGGUUUAAAUAUGUAAGUAGUCCCUGUAAUUUCGCGUAUUUUUGUUUUCGUUCCUGUAAGUUAUUUUGUUCUAAAACAAACUCUGUAUUUUGCUAACCUUUUGGAAAAGGUCCUUGCCGUCAGCUUCCGUCAACAAAAACGCCAUGGUGGCUAACGGAGCACACGUGGCAGUUCAUGAGUUGGCAAAGUUGAUGAGAUGGAAUGAGAGAUGAUAAGUUGUUAAAAUACAGGGACUAAAAUCAAAAACGUAAAUUGACACAGGGAUGAAAUUAAAAAAACGUUUAAUCUUCUUUUUCCUCUCAAAUUUCAGUCUUCUUCUUCCUCUCAAACUUUCCCCAAUCUAUCCCAUACCUUGCGCCCUUGAACCAAAACUCAUAUCCUUCAACAAUUUAUUCUAAUUCCAUUACUCAAUCAUAUUGUGUGUUUUGAUUGUAAUGUUAAGUUGAAACAUUGUAUGCUACUUAAGUUUGAUUAAUUUAGUGAUGGUUGUUGCGAUUGAUUGCAAAUUCAUUCAUAAAGUUUGUAGAUAAUAAAGGCAAGAAUACAUCUUUUUCAUCCCUCUUUUUUUUCCACAAUUCCCUCUUAUUCUUCCAGAUUGCUACAAUUACCAUACAUAAAUAGUCAGAUCCCCUUUCAUCUUUUCUCACUCACAUUCAAAUUCAAACUCUAAUUUCUCAAAUUUUUGCUUUUGAAUUGUGUAAUUUUGUGUUUUUAUGUAAUUGGUGUAGAGAGUUUAUGUUGUUUUAAUGUGUUGAUUAAGAGUGGGUCUUGUUGUUGUUGAUUGAUGAUUAUUAGUUUUGUUUAAAAAAAUAUAUAUGUUUGUUGUUUUCUUUCUUUUCCUGGGUUUGGUGUUGAUGAUUUAUGAAUAUGGUGAUGAAGAUGAAGAAGACAAUGAAGGAAGAAGAAGAAUAAGAUCUUGAUUUUAAAUUUGAAAUUUUGAUUUUACGUUUUUUAUUUUAGUCCCUGUGGUAAUUUACGCUUUUGAUUUUAGUCCCUGACUUUACACAACUAAUCAUCUCUCAUGCCAUCUCAUCAAAUGUGCCAAGUCAUGACCUGCCACCUGUGCUCCGUUAGCCACAAUGGCGUUUUUGUUGACAGAAGCUGAUGGUAAGGACCAUUUUCAAAAGGUCAAAAAGAUACAAGGUUUAUUUUAUAUAAAAAAAAAAACUUACAAGGACGAAAACAAAAAAUACGCGAACUUAGAGGAACCUUUUACAUAUUUAAGCCAAUAACUAAUAGCACUUAUUUUGGUACAUUUCUCUUUUGCAAAUGUGAAACUUAAUAUUGGAUGGGGUCAAUAAUUUUGAGAAUGAAUAAACCCAUUAUUUAGUCUUUUAAUUUUUUUUUUCCAUCCAUCAGGUUUCUAAACUAUUUACAAACACUAAAUGUCCUUAAGACAUAGCUCAAGUAACAAUAUUGAUAUUGAGAAGUUGGAUAUUUUCAUCCGAGUUUGAACUCGAAUUCUUGCAAUUACGAGUGUGAAUUUCAGGUAAUUUAUAUCAAUUUAUCUGUAAACAAAAGGAGAUAUAUACGCGUAACAAAUAGGUCUAAUGCAAAUUAACAACUUAUUUUUAGUUUAUAAAAUAUAUGAAAUUUAAUCCUUUAGUCCCUAGUAUAUUUUAACAAUGGGCACUAAAGCAACAUAUAUUUCAUAUAUUUUAAAUACUACUACAUCUUUCCUUAUGUAUAAGCUCAUUUGACAUUUUCACAUAUAUUAAAAAAGUUAGUAGUGUCUUGACAAAAAAGAAGCUCCUUAGAGUUUCCUUAUGUAUAUUUUUUUAAACCGAAAAAAUUGUGUACAAAAAAUGACUAUUAUUACUAAAAAAAAUCUUUUGCAUAUAGAUGUGUUCAACAUUUAUUUUGCAAUUCUCAAGACAAAUCAGUGGUACAUCUUAAUAAGUGAUAUAUUUGUUAGGAAAAAAAAUUACUAUAUGUAUCUAGUUAUUUGCAAGACUAAUGAUUCUUAGCAAAUAUGCUUAUAUUGAGAGAACUUUUUUCUAAAGAGAGCUUAUAAUUAGAGACUAAGAUUUUGCCAAAAAAUAAAGAAAAAUUAGAGAAUAAGGUUUAUACUAUACUUUAGAAACUAAUUUGAUGAGAUACGACUAAAUCGAAGAUAUAUUUUUUUAGAAUAGUGUUAGAACCUUAGAAAUUAUAAUCAAUAGAAAUAGAAAUGUUCCUUACAGAUCCAUAAUAGUGACAAUCUUGUCUUUUCUUUUGAGGAAAUAAUAAUAAAGGUGGUGCCAACAUUUCAACAAACCUAGCUAUUUUAAUUAUUCUGUUCUCACAGCCUGCACCUUAGAUCAAAUCCAAAUUGGGUCAUCACCGUUCCAAAAUGCUUAGGGACGUUACUCUAAAUGUCAAUAUGAAUGAGUAAUUCAAAUAGUUAACAUAGCCCGCCAGCCUUAUAUAAUAAUAUCAAUAUAUGUCGACUAAUUAUCGAGAUGCUAAAUUGGAGUACACUUCACAAACAAAAAUCUUUCAUAAGGCGUUUUUUCUCUUAAUACAUUUUUUCUUUUCUUAUGCUAGUAACAUUUACUCUGUAUUGGCCUUCCUAAGAAGAAGUUGGAUAGUAGCAAUGUGUUCGUGAGACUGCUGAUAUCUUAAAAGAAUGUUCUCAUAGAUUCCACUUUUUUAGUAAGCUUUUAUGUGUAUGAGUUUGCAAAUUUAACCCUUUUUAAUUCGGAUAGAUUUAUAAGUCACACCUUCAAGUACAAUCGACAAAAUUUCAGUAAUAAUUACGGUUUAGGGUUUAUGGGUCUAGAUCUACUAAAAAUGAGUGGGUGUAUAAAUUAGUAUAUCCUAGAGUUUAUUAUCUUACGUUCGAUCUUCUUUGCAGAAACUCGUGCAUGUUCGUGAUAUAUAUUUUCGCGAGAAGUACAUUUCCCUAAAACAAAAUCAACCACUGACAUAAACACGUCAAAUGUAAGCCGGUAAAUCCAAGCUUUACUAACACGAGUUAUAUUAUAUCAUUGGCAUCAGCUACUUAAGAACUACUGUAGAAAAUUUACAGCAAGUCAUCGAGGCUUAAUAAAAUGUGUUGAUAUAGUUACAAAGAUAAAUUAAAUAGCAGAGCAUACAUGAAGAGAACAAAUGUAGAGCAACCCCUUAAACAAACCCUCUCAGUAAGGUAUCUUCACAUUACUCUAAGUUCAUAAAAGAUGACUUUAAAAACGAUUAUUUCAAAAUGCAAGUAUUCUCCGACCCCUUUUUCCCGGAUCUAGAUCUAAUAGUGUAAGGAUAUAUAUAAAUCAUUGUCACAUUUUACAACUCAAGAGUUUACCUCAACUCGUUUUGUUUAGGUAAAUUCGACUCGAGAACUCGUAUGACUUUACCUAAAAUUAAAAUUAUAUAAAAUUUAUUAUAUAUGCAUGACAUAUGUAAGUUAAUAUAAUAUUGUAAAUAGGUCAAUAGUGCAAAAUAUGACUUAAUUACAAAGACAAAUUAUACCAUAAUAAAAUGUUAUGCUCAACUUAGCUUCAAAAUACAAAAAUUAACGCACAAAAUCAUAAGUCUCUAAGUUUAAGCCAUCCAUAAAACCAUCCAAAAAAAGAAAGUUUCACAAGUUCCUAAAGUUAUUAAUAAAACUAUCUAAAAAAUAAAGUAGUUAAUUUCUUCAAAACGUCAACAAACACCACCACAACAACCCUAACCAGUGUCACAAUCACCGGCGUUGAAAUAUGAAUUUCCACCGUCUGAAUCACAACCCUAAAUGGUAUGUGCUCCCCUGUUCAUGGUUUGAGAACUUAGAAAAGAAAAAGGGCAAUCCGGUGCACUAAAGCUCCCACAUACGCAGGGUCCGGGAAGGGGUCCCACCAUUUUUUGUGUAUUGUACGCAACCUUACCCUGUUUUUGAUCACAAAAGAAAAAGAAACGUUUCAUUUUAGGAACAACUUGUCACUGUAAAGGUAACUAUUAAUUAAACGUUUCAGUCUUUGGGGUUGUAGAAAAGGAAUUGGAUUUUGAAAAAAAUGGGCACAUAAAAAGGGCCAAUUUUUAGAUGUAAACUCGUAAAACUCAGUAAACUCGGUCGAGUUUACACGAGUUUACCUAGUGUUAACUCGGUCAAACUCGUUAAACCUUCCAAUUUUACCAGAAACCGAGUUUACCUCCGAAUUAACAUGAUUUUGGCACCUACGUAAACUCGAAGAGUUAACACUCAAUUUGCGGAACAUUGCAUAUAUAUUUAAAGAUAUAUGUAUAAUUAUAGAGAAAGUAGAGAAGGGAUAUACCAUUUUAUGUAGGGUUAUUAUGUAUCAAAUCAUAAAGAGUCGAGAGUUGUAUUAUACCAUAAUAUUCUUCCGUAAACUGGUAGUCAUGAUCAUGACGUAUAUUAUUCAAGUAUAUGCAAAAACAUGUCUGUAUCUAGUCUAAAUUUUUGACCAAAUGCAUGUAUUUGCUUAUAUUUUGUUACUACUUACUACUCGCCAAGUAAUGCUCAAUAUCUAAUAUAUAUAUUUCAAGACCAUCAAAGAUAACUCAGUUGAACAAUACAUAAUAUAUGCAAGGUUCGGGGUAUAUUACAUUUUCAAUUAUUCUAAUAAUAAAUUUAAAUGACACUUAAAUUAUACAACUAUUAAAUAGAUCUUAGUACCGUAAAAUUUAUAUUCGAGACUUGCUAGGGAGAACCAUCAACCUCAACAAAAAUUUCUACUUGAAUCUAACGCAAACAAAAGGUCCAACCAUCUAUGAAUCUCCGUUGAUAUCACAAAUGAUGUUUGAUACAAGAGAGACAUAUUAGAACAUAAUCUAUGUACAAUCUACAUUAAAAUAAAAAACAAGUCUACAGUCAUAUAAAUAACACAAUUUCAAAAUCUCAAAAUUAGGUAUGAAAACAAAAUGAUUAGAAAAAUAAAUGAUUCAAUCAUUCCGAGAUUUGUGCAAAAAAAAAAAAAAAAACAUUUUGAAAAUACAAUGUUAGAAACUUAUGAUCAAUAUAUAUUUUUCCUUACACAUCAAAAAUAAUUAAGCUAUAUUCUUGUCUUUUCAUUUUGGGCAAACUAAAAUUAAAAUCAAGGUAGUGUCAAUGUUUCUAUAGUCCUAGCUAUUUGAUUUUCUUCUAAGCUAACAAGAGUCUUCCAAAAUCAAAUUCGCGCUCAAAAUUAAAGCAACUUGGGUGGUAACCAUUCCAAAAUACUUAGGGCCACAUUGCUCUAAAAGUCAAUAAGAAUAAGUAAUAAUUCAAAGAUAGCCAACCUUAUAGUAUAUUUUAAUAUGAAUGUAUGCAUGUUUCCUAGAAGGUGAGUAAGCUAACUAAUCAAGAUACUUUGUUGGAGUUAAAUAUGGUAAAGAAUCCAACUAUAAAAUGGGGACUUGCCCCAGCAUUCUUUCACAAACCAAAACCAACUUCUAAGAAAAAAAUGAGGUCCCUAAUGGCCUCUGCUUCUCUCACUCUUGCAUUAGCCAUCCUCUUUUUGAGUUUCCCAUCUGAAAUUUCAGCAAACAAAUACGCAUAUUCCUCUCCACCACCACCACAUUACUCAUCUCCUCCACCUCCACCGGUUCACACUUACCCUAAACCAGUCUACCACUCUCCACCACCACCAGUUCACACCUACCCUAAACCAGUUUACCACUCUCCACCACCACCAGUUCACAAGUACCCUCACCCUAAACCAGUAUACCACUCUCCACCACCCCCAGUUCACAAGUACCCUCAUCCACACCCAGUCUACCAUUCUCCACCACCCCCAGUUCACAAGUACCCCCAUCCUCACCCAGUGUACCACUCUCCCCCACCACCACCACCAAAGAAGUCCUACAAAUACCCAUCUCCCCCACCACCACCAGUUCACACCUACCCUAAACCAGUCUACCACUCUCCUCCACCCCCAGUUCAUCACACCUACCCUAAACCAGUCUACCACUCUCCUCCACCCCCAGUUCACACCUACCCUCACCCUAAACCAGUCUACCACUCUCCACCACCCCCAGUUCACACUUACCCUAAACCAGUCUACCACUCCCCACCACCACCAGUUCACACCUACGUCCCUCACCCUAAGCCAGUCUACCACUCUCCACCACCACCAGUUCACACCUAUCCCCCACAUGUUCCCCACCCAGUUUACCAUUCUCCUCCUCCUCCAGUUCAUUCCCCACCUCCACCACACUAUUACUACAAAUCACCUCCUCCACCUUACCACAACUAGAUAGCCCAUAAUUGGCAUCACACCAUAUGGUAACUUUUCAUGCAACAUAUAUAUUAUAACUUUUCAUAUUCUCUCUUUAUUAACUAGUUAUCGGUAUGAUUGUCGAGUAUAUACUAACAAGGCUAAUUUGAAAUGAAACUUCAUGUGCAAUGAAACAUUCUUUUACUGGUUAAUAUUUUAUUCUAUGUUUCAUUGAAAUUAAUAUUUUUCUAAUAGUAUUUGGUUAUUAAGGGAUUAGAGUAUAUCAGACAUAAACUGACAGAUCAAUAUAUUUGCAUUUGUGUAGGAUCUAAACAGAAAGUGUGAAAGCAAAGAAAGCCAUGCACAAAGAAGAUCAAGGGGAUUCUUCACAUAUAUUUCGUCAGCAUUUGAUUAAGAUUGUUUAGAGGGCUCCGUUUAUUUGUAUUUAAUUUGUGUUUUUGUUGUAUUAUCCACAGCUGUAAGGCACUGCCCCAAUAUGCAUGUGUCUGCAGUUGUUUUCAUGCAUUGUAAUUUUCAAAGUUCGGCUUUGUAUCAAGCUGACUCACAAACUAAAUAAAUAUAUAUCCCCUAUUAUAGUAAUCUGUCCCUUUCAUCUAUGACUCCUUUUAUAUUACUAUUCUUGUGAUAAAAAUAAUCUGUGUUUAUUUGUUUCUACUAAUUAUUUUUGGUUUACCUUUCUCCGUACAAAUAAAAUUUAGUUUAAAAGUGAAUUUGACAGCACUUUUAAGAGAAACCUAAAAGAAAUAGAAGAAUAAUGCUUCUCAAAAGAUUAAAAAAAGACCACUAUAUUAUAUAUAUGUGAACCAAGGAUCAUGUCUCAAUGUGUGUGUUUUUUCUUUUAACGAGAAAGAUCUAUAAUUAUAAUGUAAACAAGAGUACAAUGAGUACUACAACUCACUACAAAAAGAGGUGCAACACUUCAAACGAAAAAAAUAGCACACACCAUAAGCAAUACAAAAGCAUUAGUCUACAAAGCCAAUAGGGUGGCAUUUAACAUGGGGCAGUAAAAUUUUAUCCCACCAUGGAAAAGUGGAUCCAUUAUGGGCAGGUGGCAGUUUUAACUUGCUGCAGUUAAAAAAAGAAGAAAAAAAAAAUUACUUAUUAUUUUAUUCGGUUUCAACUUGCUAUUUCACCUCCUUGUUGCUGCAAUAAAAAAGGAUCUCCAGUAAAUUUGCUCCAAACCAACCCCAUCGGCCAUCUCUACACCUCAUCUGCGCCAAUCCACCAUUGUGUUUUUCUCUUACCAUCUUCAUGAGGAGCUGUUGAGAGUGAUGCCCAAUUGGCCAUGAAAUAUAUCCAACCAAUUUGCGCUCAAAUUUUCCAUGAAUGCAAAACAGACUCCUUUUGUUUGACACAUGCAUUUAUAUUUGUUUGGAUGGUAUCAUUGUGGAGAUGGUUGGAGAAAAUUUCAUGAAGUGAUUCUUCUAUUAGCUGAGGAAGAAAUUGGAAAAGAAUCAUUAUUUUUUUCUACCCAUUAUUUUAUAUGUAUAUAACUGUGUCGGUUUCUUUUCAAUUUUUUGGUUUGAAUGGAAUUUUAUUAAAUUUGAAAAACCAGUUUAUUUUUCCUCGAAAAAAGAAAUAGUUUAUUUUCUAAUAUAAAAGUGUUAUUCUACCACCUGACCAAAAAAAGUGUUAUUCUACCAAAAAAUAUUUAAUUAAAAGCGUUAAUUAUACCCAAAAAUACAAAAAAAAAAUUGCUUUUAAUUAGUAAAUAUGUUGUGGCUCAUACUCGAAGGUUACUUUAUAAGCCCCCCUCAUAUCUCUCUAGGCCCCCUAAAGUUACAAAAAUAUCCUCAAAUAACACAUUCUGUACAUACCUACGGAAGGUGAAUGUUUUUAAUUUUAUUUUUGCAGCUUCUGUACAUACCUACCGGACAGAGAAUUGAGGCAAAUAUUUAGGAAACUAAUAUGAAAAAAAGCCUGAAACUGAGUCCAUAAAUUCUCCAUUGAUGAAAAGCUUUUAAAACUUUAUAGUUGGAAUCUUUACAAAGGAGUCUAAGAUGAUGUGAUUUGCCAUCUCUAUUUCUCUGUCUACCUUUCAACAGGGACUACAAAGAGAAAAUUUUCAAUUGAGAAAAACUAUGAACUUCCUGAUGAACAAAUGGACAAGUUAUCACAAUUGGGGCUGAGAGGUUUCGUUGCCCAGAAGUCCUUUUCCAUCCAUCUAUGAUUUCAAAAUAUCUAUUUGGAAUGUAACUACAGAAAGUGUAAAUCUGAAAAUGUGAAAAUAUGCCUCCGGUAUGUACAUACCGAAGGUGCAAAAUGUGGAGAGAAAAAAUAUGCACUACCGGUUUGUAUCUACUGAAUGUGUUGUGAAGGUUAUUUUUGUAUUUUUAGGAGGCCUAAAAAGAUAUUGGAGGGGCCUAAAAAGUAACCUUCCAUUCUUAGAAGAAAAAAAAAUGGAAGCCAACAUCCAAACACAUAAAAGCCCACAAUCAAUUAUAAACAUAAACAAUUUGUUGUGGGGUAAAAAUUUUUGUAGUAGGUUUAAUUGGCAAAAAGUUAGAAGAAGGUUGCCAUCAACAAAUCUGAACCAUUCACUUAAAAUAUUAAUAUAUCAAUGGUUAAAACAUCAACUUUUUUAUGAUGGGAAAAAACUUCACUUUCCCAUUUUAAACCCCACCAGCCAAUAGAGAGAAACUACAUCAAAAGCUACACCACCUCAACAAGAACAAAAAGAUAAAUGGAGAAAAUUGAACCCGAAAUUUAUCAAGGACAGUCUCAAUUUGUGUGUUUUGAUACUUUUGUGUCUCAAAAUAAUUGAAUCAUUUGUAAAAUAAAAAAAAUUGUCUCACAAUAAUUUACUCGUUUCGCUUUUCAAUACAAUAUUAAUUACUUUUUUUUUAUUUAUAACUCUAAUUAAUACUACUUUCAUCAUUCCAAAUUUAAUAUCAAUAUAUUGAAUUUGGAGUAACGUAGAAUGUACAAAUAUUUGACAACACACUUAAAACCAUUUUUCACUCUUUCACUUAUAUAUUUUUUCUUAAUAUAUGUGAAAUGAACAAACGACUCACUUAUAUUAUAAAUCAGAGAAGUAUUUAGUUCAAGACUUUGUAUUGCUAAACUUUGACAUGUCUUGUGUUUAGUUUAGCCCCUUUAUUGAACAGGAAAAAAUACCGCAACUUCAGUAUCCCGGGCUAAAUGCCACCCCCCAUUCCCCAUAAGUUGCCAAAAGAAUAAAUAAACUCUGCUUUUGAUACAUAGACAUCCCUCGUUCCAACCAUCUAUGCAUAAAGACUCAAUAUAACGGCAAUUCAUCGAAGUACAUAAACCAAUUGUUUAAGGUGUACUAUUAGAGAAUCAAACCGAGGAACUAGUGGCGGAGCCAGGAAAUUUAUGGAGCUUGGGCAAAAAAUUAAUCGUAAAUUCACAUGUGACAUAAUAUAUAAACAGUCAUAAAUUGAAAGAAAAAUUUUUUUUUUCCUAAAAAAAAUUGAAAUAAAAGAUGUUUAUCAUUUUGUAAACAAAAGUACAAUUUAAAAUAUGAUUAUUAAUUGAAAUUGACCACGUAAUAUACAUGAAGUCUGAAAAUUGACCCUGCUGUAAUUAAAUAACAUGUAUUCUGACCAUGUAAUUCGAGAUUUUUAUUAUUUAUAACAUGUAAUAUACGCGAAGUCCAAAAAAGCAACCGAGAGAUUUAAUUUUUUCAUGAUUUCCUAGAGGCGAGUUAAGAACGUUAAAAUAUGGCUUUAACAAAAAAAAUAUAAAUUUUCGACAAACGACAAAUUAAUUAUGAUUUUUUAAAGUGUCAAAAGCUCAAAAAACAAAACAACGGAAAUCUCAAUCAAUAAAUCGAAUUUUGAGCUCAUUAUUUGCAGAGAGAUCUAUAAAAAUACAUAAAAAGGAUCUGUAAAGUUUCAUAGCAUUUCGAAGUCGUUUAAAUUUAUUUUGAUUUUUCAACUGAAACAUGUAAAAUUGAAAUUUUGUUUCGCGUAAGCGUAUACUCACAAGUCAAAUUUAGUUCCCUAAUUUUGUAGGCAUGACUAGAACAUGAUAAGAACCUUCACAAUGAAAUUUUGUAAUUUUUAAACUAGAUACAAAUUAAUUAUAAAUUGUUUAAGAAAUUCAUAAUUAUGAUGGAAUAAAAAUUCAUAAUUAAUUUAUCCCUGGUCGAAGAAAUUUAAUUUUGAGUAAAGCUAUAUUUUAACGUGCUAAAUAUGUAUGAAAAAAAUAGUGAAAAAAUUCAACAUGUAGGGCACAUUUUUAGACUACACGUAUAUUAUAGAGUGGUCAAAAUUAAAUAAGAAGAAAUUCAAGUUGCAAUGCUAGAAUAUAUAUUUUUUAUUUUAUUGGGUCAUUUUUCAAACAUAAAGUAUAUUACAAGGUCAAUUUGAACAAUUAACCCGUUAAAAUAAGAGAGAUGAACCCGUCAAUAGCGUACUAAAUAAAAUUUCAAGACUUAUUUGCGUGUGACAAUUUUCAGAUUGCCCAAAUUUUUCUUUUUGUAAAUGUGUUAACGGGCUUUUGGGUUGAGUCUAAUGUGCAAAAAUUAUCGAUCGAGCCCGGGCGAUCGUCUGGGGUCGCCAUACGGUAGAACCGCCCCUGCUAGGAACGAGGGGCGGAUCCACUUAGGUGUUAUGUGGAGCUAAAGCUCCACAUGUUUUUUCCUUUUUUUUUUGUUAUAAUUGAUAAAACGAAAAAGAAGUGACUUAGUAAAUAAUUCUCUCAUUUUCCCUUCUCUCUUAGUCUCGUAAAGUCAUUUCUAGUUUUUACGUGACAAAUUAUUGAGGAUGUCUGAGUUUUAUCCAAAUGAUUUUAUAGAUAUGUCGGAAGUGACGUUACGCACUCAACUUGUGAAUUAUGUUACAAAUGUUUAAAAUUUGCUAAGUUCAAAGGGCUUUUAGAUCUUUAUGCAAAACUUGUGGAAACAAAUAAGUGCAAACAAGAUGUAUGUUAGCACACUACUGUAUAUUAGACUAUUUGAUCUGCGAGUUUUUGUGUUUCUUACACAAUCUCGACGAGAAUAAUAUUUAUCGAUUAACAAAAAAUACAUUUAACUAAUUUGCAUUAUUAUACAAGGGUGAUUAAAUGGAGUAAGCCGAAUAGAGGUCGAAUGAAAUGUAAUAUUGAUGCAUCGUUUCCUAAUAAUGAGAACCGAAUUUGAAUAGGCAUUUGCAUUUGGGAUGAUGAAGGUGCAUUUGUGAUUGCAAUAACAUAAUGUUUAACUUCAAAGUGUGAUGUGCACAUUGAUGAAGCAUUGGGUUUGUUGACAACUCUUCAAUGGGUGCAUGAGUUACAUACAGUUAGGGCCUAUAGAGUUCGAACUUGAUUCCAAAAAAAGUGGUUGAUAGCUUUGGAGCUAAUAGGCAUGAUUCGACGGAAUUUGGAGCUAUUAUUAAUUAUUGUAAAAUAUUGUUUAAUCAUUUAUAUGAAAACUCGAGUGUAGAGUUUGUUCGGAGACAAGCAAAUGGGGUUGUCCAUGAAUUAGCAAAGGCGGCCACAUUAUCGAUUAGUUUCCAUAUUUUGGUUAUGCCACCACAUUGUAUUGAACACAUUUUAAUUAAUGAUAUUCUAUAAGUUUUCCCCUCUAAAAAAAAAACUAAUUUGCAUUAUUAUUUAUAUGAAAUUUUAACUACAUAUAUACCGAAAGUAUAGAUUUGCCCAUGGUAGAAACCCGUCAAAAUUUGUUAUUUCCACCAAUUAGUGAAUACUAUCCAUUUUACAAAGCCAUCAUUCGGUUAAGAAACUGUCAAAUUGUUAUCCUGCAUUCACUUAUAAUAGCAUGUGUCUUUCACUGUUAGACAAACAAACAAAUAUUAACAGCUUAAACUUUUUGAGAAUUUGUACAUAUUUUAAAAAAAUAUCAUAUGAAUAUGUAUUUAAUCUCACUUUUUGUACUUUACUACUAAAGAAGGUUUCAGAUUUCGCCACCAGAAUACUUUCCAUGUACUUCUCUUAUUUUAUCAUCACAUCUCUCACUUUCUUCUUUCAAGGUAGUUUUAUGAUCUAUUAAAAAGUUCACGGGGAAAUAAACAUCUAAGUAGGUUUUAGGCUAUGCCAAACUCUUUAAAAAGUUACGUUAGAUCCUUAAAAAAAGUUAUGUUAGAUCCUUAAAAGAUCAGAUUGAGAGACAAGGAAAGGGGCAUGUAAUUUCUUGGAUUGCUACAUGAAUAUCUACAAGUACAGACAAUUCAAUUUAGGAUUAAUGGUGUUUUUGGAUUAUUAUUGAAGAAGAAGAAGGUGAGGGGGGUACAUUACAACAA
rnacentral:lncRNA from 1 species